AUUAAAUAAAGACCUCCUAAUAUUAUUUGAAACAGAUAACACUGAAUUAGUUUGAAUUUGAUUUUCAUCUAAUAUCUUUAUUUAAUGAACUCCUAAACUUUUUCAUAAUAAUCUCCUUCAAAAGUCGCCUGUAUGGGUGGCUUUUAU
rfam:Streptococcus pneumoniae R6, complete genome.